UACGUAGGGGGCAAGCGUUAUCCGGAUUUACUGGGUGUAAAGGGAGCGUAGACGGCAGGGCAAGUCUGAAGUGGAAGCCCGGGGCUCAACCCCGGGACUGCUUUGGAAACUGUCCGGCUGGAGUGCAGGGGAGGUAAGUGGAAUUCCUAGUGUAGCGGUGAAAUGCGUAGAUAUUAGGAGGAACACCAGUGGCGAAGGCGGCUUACUGGACUGUAACUGACGUUGAGGCUCGAAAGCGUGGGGAGCAAACAGGAUUAGAUACCCUGGUAGUCCACGCCGUAAACGAUGAUUACUAGGUGUCGGGGGUUAUUAAACCUUCGGUGCCGCAGCAAACGCAAUAAGUAAUCCACCUGGGGAGUACGUUCGCAAGAAUGAA
rnacentral:rRNA from 1 species